rnacentral:rRNA from 1 species
GAUGAACGCUGGCGGCGUGCCUAAUACAUGCAAGUCGAGCGAACAGACGAGGAGCUUGCUCCUCUGACGUUAGCGGCGGACGGGUGAGUAACACGUGGAUAACCUACCUAUAAGACUGGGAUAACUUCGGGAAACCGGAGCUAAUACCGGAUAAUAUAUUGAACCGCAUGGUUCAAUAGUGAAAGACGGUUUUGCUGUCACUUAUAGAUGGAUCCGCGCCGCAUUAGCUAGUUGGUAAGGUAACGGCUUACCAAGGCAACGAUGCGUAGCCGGCCUGAGAGGGUGAUCGGCCGCACUGGAACUGAGACACGGUCCAGACUCCUACGGGAGGCAGCAGUAGGGAAUCUUCCGCAAUGGGCGAAAGCCUGACGGAGCAACACCGCGUGAGUGAUGAAGGUCUUCGGAUCGUAAAACUCUGUUAUUAGGGAAGAACAAAUGUGUAAGUAACUAUGCACGUCUUGACGGUACCUAAUCAGAAAGCCACGGCUAACUACGUG